CUCUUGUUUAAGUAUUCAGUUGAAAUCCAUUUUCUUUUGCAAAAUCUACCAAAUCUUCCAUCCACUAUUUAUAAUAUAUUUUGCUUUCCCAGUCUUACGCACAAAGACUACUGGGUCCAUUUUAGGCUGCCUAGGACACUCAAGUACUUGAUAAAGGCCAAGGUGGCUUUGUGACGCAGUUAGAGCUGGGGGAAAGCUGAGGCGCGCGCUCUACCAGCCCUCUUCCGCUGGGGCCGUGGGAAUGGACACAUCUUUUUCCCACGUGCGAAAAGCCAGCCGGCCAUGACAACGAACACAUCCACCACCACAACCGCAACUGUGGCACGCUCUAUCUCCUCCUUUACGGACCCUCAUCAUUUCUCCUCCCACAACCACAUUAUAAAGAUGGCCUCGGCCAGUCAAGGGCACUUUGAUGCUUAUGAGGCACUGGAUCUUACAGAAUUUGCCAAAAAACAGCCUUGGUGGCGCAAGCUUUUCGGGCAGGAGAGUCGGUCUGCAGGUGAGAAGUACAGCGUGGCAACCCAGCUCCUUAUUGGAGGUGUCACUGGCUGGUGCACUGGCUUCAUAUUCCAGAAAGUUGGAAAGCUGGCUGCCACAGCAGUGGGAGGGGGCUUUUUUCUCCUCCAGCUUGCAAACCACACUGGCUACAUCAAAGUUGACUGGAGUCGAGUAGAGAAGGACAUGAAAAAAGCCAAGGAGCAGCUGACGAUUCGGAAGAGCGCCCAAAUACCAACUGAAGUCAAGAGCAAAGCUGAGGAGGUGGUGUGCUUUGUGAAGAAGAAUGUUUUAGUAACUGGAGGAUUUUUUGGAGGCUUUCUGCUCGGUAUGGCAUCCUAAGGGGUAUCGCUUCACUUCCACUGUUCACCAGCCUCAACACUCCAUCA